CCAAAGUUACUUCAAGGGGAAGAUUGGACGGUAGAUAGACCGCGUAAUGAAACGCUCUACAACGUUGAAGAAACCAGCCUUGAAUACGCGCACUACGAUCAACGCCGAGCUGACGUCGUCGUCCUUCAAAGAUCCCGACAUGUCGUCGACCAUCCCGGUCUCCUACUCAUUUUGCUCUCUCUCUCCCCUCUCUUUCUCCCCAUCCUGAUUGCCCCCCUUUUCUGCCCCCCUCUCUCUCCCUAUGUGUGUCUGUCUGUUCAUCUAGCUCUGUCUGUCUGCCUCCCUCCCAGUCACACACACCCUCCCUCUCUAUCGGUCAGCCUAUAAUUUUGUCUCUGUAUUUUUUUCUUUGGUUCUUGUGUGUGUCUUAGAUAAUCUUCUGGAUUUGCUUCCAUUUUGUGAUCGAGUUAUUCCCGUACCCUCGCAACAGGUUAUGCUUGCAAGUGGAGCUUGAUGUGGGAAAGCCAAUCACUUAUCUGGUCAUUAUCAUCUGCUGUAAUCUUCAAAGGGCUCUGCAGCCUAUCUCGAAGAUGAGAUUAAACUUGGACGCACGUUAAGAGGAGGAGUGAGGGAUAUUUUCAAGGUGACUUUGCAGAAGCUUUUGGAAGCUGUCAAGCGAAACUGCAUUAACUAUUUGGAGAGGGAGUUUAUUCCAUUCAGGUCAGGACAGAAUCCCAAAGAGCAUCGCAUUAGGGGGAAAGUCCUGCUUAAUGGUAAAUAUGGUGUUCUCGGACUAUUAUCAAUGUCAGUCCUAUUGACUGUUCGUUUACAUAGGAUGUCACUAUCUGUCAAGUGAUCUUUUAAGGGAGACUCCGCAUAUGAUGCAAGGAAGUCUUUUCAACCAACCCCAAAGUUGGGAGAAAUAUGAAAAGGCCAACUUUUCCUAAAACGUAAUAAAUAAAUAACACAAAAUAAAUCCAAUUCAAUUUGCAUGCAAUCUUGUUUUCAACAAACAACUGGUAGGUUUAUAAUUAUUUGAACCAAUUCAUUGCUUGGUUACAACGUUUCUUAGAGUGCAUAGACCAAUGCUAUCCUUAUAAUACAGUAUAUUAUUAACACGUGUAUUGAUAUAAUUGUUCUUUUGAUCCAUGUUGUUAGUGAAAGUGAUUCUCGUUUGUAAUUACCAUUGCCGCCAUUUUAACUGUUCUGGGUCAUUUCGAUCAAAACAAUAGGCACCUGUCAAUAUUGUAACCAUAUAAUGUUCUUUUUAUCAUGUACAAUAAUUAUUUUUUUCUAAAAAAAUAGGAAUACCAUUACUUAUUGAUAAUUUCAUAGCAUCGUUUGUUUUGUUUUCGUGUUGAAACACCUCUGUUAUUAAUUUAUUUUAAUGUCAUAAUCCGUUUAUUAAAAUGGUUUCGAAUUUCUUAUGUUUAUUCAUAAGAAUUAGUUAAAAAUAAAUAAUUCGACUCUCAUAUUUAGAUAAUGUAAGGUCUGUAUGGUCUGUAUGGAAAAAAAUUCAAAAAAUAAUUACACUGAAAUUUUCAUUAAAAUGUGAUACAAAAAAAAAACGUCUCUGAUACCAGCCACGCGUCGUUUCUUUUGUUACUUAUAGUAUGAAUAAUGUUUAAAUUUUUACAAUUUUGCAAAGAAAGGGAUCCUCUUGAUUGUAGCACAAAAUGUGGAAAAAAGGAAGGUCAACAUAUUCUAGAAGUAAUAGACCACUAUUUCACAAUGAUGAAUCAAUAAACAAUAAUAUUUUCAUAUAAUAAAGAAAAUGAGUGAGCGGAUGACAUAGGUCCCCUCUUUUGCAUACAGACCAGGAUGUGCAAAUAACUGUUCUGUGAAAUCAAGCGAAACUUUAAAAUUUGUCAACUCUAUCAUUCAACAUCCCAAUUUAAAGAAACCUUCAGUGCCAUGAUUGUUUUUUUCUCAUCUUAAUCGAAUCAAUCAUUCAUUGAAAUGCGCUUGCUUUUGAUUGCAUCUUAACUCCGUUGAUUUCAUGGGAAAAUAAUCAAAACUCAUUAUUUUGAAGAUUACAAAGGCAAAUGUAAAAUAUACUUCGUUAAGAAAGAUGGAAUUACGAAAUAGCAAUGCGUUACAGUCUAAGGGAGGUUAAAAAAAAGUAAUUAAUCAGAUUAGUUAAUACAUACGAAUCUGCGGAAUAAAGCGUUUUCAGAGAUCUUACAUGAAAUGUUCACUUGUUGUUAAAGGAAUUUAAAUUUGAGGCUUCGGUGGAACUUGGGGGAUUAGCAUUAAUUUUGAAGAAUGUAUUCCGCGCUAGUGAAAUAAAGCAUUUUGGCUUCGUUGACUAGGGUUAAUAAGUUUUAACAUAAUUAUAUUAAUAUGAAAAUCGCAUUUGUUUGAUACAUUAUUUGAAUUUGUUUACAUUCAUUUACUGGUAUUGAAUAGUCAUGUGUUGUCAUUAUAUGGCGUUAAUUCAAUGAGUAUGCGUCUAUUCGCAAUUAUUUACAUUUUCACUGAAUCCAUAAUGUAUAUUUACAUAUCCAUGAAUAACCUGACACCACAAUACAUGCACUGCAAAACACCGGUUUUGAUUUAACACCAGCCCGGAAUCUAUAUAUGUCCACACCAGAGAAGUGUUAAACUACACCAGUUUGGUUUUGGUCUAACAACAGAUAGGUGUUUAUACAAUACCAAGUAGUAUUAAAACAGCAUCGGUUUGAUACUAAACUGGUGUUAUUUCAAUACUUCUCUGGUGUGGACAUACAUGUAUAUAUAUUCCGGGCUGGUGUUAAAUCAACACCUGAGUUUUUGCAGUGUGCUUGCUUUUUCCAUUCAAACAAUCUCCCCGUGCAUAAUGUUUUAGAACAGACCUUUGUUUGUUUCCAAAUUCCUAGACUAAACUAAAAAAAGUUCAACAAUAGAUACGUUUCAUAGGCCCCAAUGUCCGCGAUAGUCUACCCUGCAAAAUCCGUUAACGCUCAUCAGUACAAGUAUUCAAAAUGAAGCUAAAAAAAAUAUAUGUCUCCUUCCCAUUUAUUAAUGAUAUAAGCACAUGUAAAGUGGAAUCUAUUUCACUGUCAUGUUAAAUCUUAAAACGCUUUAAGCAUGUUUCAAUUGAAAAAAAAAACGCUAUAUAAAUGUUUAAUAUGUGCAUGUAAUUCGAAUAUAUUAUUUGUUUAGUUUGGUAUGUGACACCCAGUUUUUGCUUCUCGUUCA